rnacentral:rRNA from 1 species
UAGGGAAUAUUAGUAAUGGGCGAAAGCCUGAACUAGCAACACCGCGCGUGCGAAGAAGGCCUUCGGGUUGUAAAGCACUUUUUGAGAGGAUGAGGAGGGACGGUACUCUCAGAAUAAGUCUCGGCUAACUACGUGCCAGCAGCCGCGGUAACACGUAGGAGGCAAACGUUAUCCGGAUUUACUGGGCGUAAAGCGCGUGUAGGUGGUUUGGUAAGUAGAGCGUGAAAGCUCCUGGCUCAACUGGGAGAGGUCGUUCUAAACUGCCGGACUAGAGGAUGGUAGAGGGAGGUGGAAUUCCGGGUGUAGCGGUGGAAUGCGCAGAUAUCCGGAGGAACACCAGUGGCGAAAGCGGCUUCCUGGACCAUUCCUGACACUCAGACGCGAAAGCUAGGGUAGCAAACG